rnacentral:rRNA from 1 species
UGGGGAAUAUUGCACAAUGGGCGCAAGCCUGAUGCAGCGACGCCGCGUGAGGGAUGGAGGCCUUCGGGUUGUAAACCUCUUUCGCCAGUGAAGCAGGCCAUCUUCUUUGUUGGGUGGUUGACGGUGGCUGGAUAAGAAGCGCCGGCUAACUACGUGCCAGCAGCCGCGGUAAUACGUAGGGCGCGAGCGUUGUCCGGAAUUAUUGUGCGUAAAGAGCUCGUAGGCGGCUGGUCGCGUCUGUCGUGAAAUCCCCUGGCUUAACUGGGGUCUAGCGGUGAGAACGGGACGGCUUGAGUGCGGUAGGGGAGACUGGAAUUCCUGGUGUAGCGGUGGAAUGCGCAGAUAUCAGGAGGGACCACGGUGGGGAAGGCGGGUCUCUGGGCCGUUACUGACGCUGAAGAGCGAAAGCGUGGGGAUCGAACAGG